GACGAACGCUGGCGGCAUGCCUAAUACAUGCAAGUCGAGCGAAAAGAUGAAGUGCUUGCACUUCUGACGUUAGCGGCGAACGGGUGAGUAACACGUAAGGAAUCUACCUAUAAGCGGGGGAUAACAUUCGGAAACGGGUGCUAAUACCGCAUAAUAUCUUCUUCCGCAUGGAAGAAGAUUGAAAGACGGCUCUGCUGUCACUUAUAGAUGACCUUGCGGUGCAUUAGUUAGUUGGUGGGGUAACGGACGACCAAGACGAUGAUGCAUAGCCGGCCUGAGAGGGUGAUCGGCCAAAUUGGGACUGAGACACGGCCCAAACUCCUACGGGAGGCAGCAGUAGGGAAUCUUCCGCAAUGGGCGAAAGCCUGACGGAGCAAUGCCGCGUGAGUGAAGAAGGCCUUCGGGUCGUAAAACUCUGUUAUAAGAGAAGAACAAAUUGUAGAGUAACUGCUACAGUCUUGACGGUAUCUUAUCAGAAAGCCACGGCUAACUACGUGCCAGCAGCCGCAGUAA
rnacentral:rRNA from 1 species